CAGCAGCCGCGGUAAAACGAAGGGUGCAAGCGUUAAUCGGAAUUACUGGGCGUAAAGCGUGCGUAGGCGGUUUGUUAAGUCUGUUGUGAAAUCCCCGGGCUCAACCUGGGAAUGGCAAUGGAUACUGGCAAGCUAGAGUGUGUCAGAGGAUGGUGGAAUUCCCGGUGCAGCGGUGAAAUGCGUAGAGAUCGGGAGGAACAUCAGUGGCGAAGGCGGCCAUCUGGGACAACACUGACGCUGAGGCACGAAAGCGUGGGGAGCAAACAGGAUUAGAUACCCCUGUAGUCCCUGUCUCUUAUAC
rnacentral:rRNA from 1 species